GACGAACGCUGGCGGCGUGACUAAUACAUGCAAGUAGUACGCAGUUGCGAACGGGUGAGUAACGCGUAGGUAACUGCCUCUAAGCGGGGGAUAACUAAGGGAAACGAUAGGUAAUACCGCAUACUGUGCGAUGGACCUGCGUUGUAUUAGCUAGUUGGUGCGGUAAAGCUUCACCAAGGCGACGAUACAUAGGCGACCUGAGAGGGCGAUCGGCACAUCUGGGACUGAGAGCCGGCCCAGACUCCGACCGGAGGCAGCAGUAGGGAAUCUUCGUGAAUGGACGGAAGUCUGACGCGGCAAAGCCGCGUGAGUGCAGAAGGUUUUCGGAUCGUAAAGCUCUGUUGUUAGAGAAGCGGUAACUAACCAGAAAGUCAUGGCUAACUACGUGCCAGCAGCCGCGGUAAUUC
rnacentral:rRNA from 1 species